rnacentral:rRNA from 1 species
UACGGAGGGUGCAAGCGUUGUCCGGAUUUAUUGGGUUUAAAGGGUGCGUAGGCGGCCCGUUAAGUCAGUGGUGAAAGCCUCCAGCUCAACUGGAGAACUGCCAUUGAUACUGUCGGGCUUGAGUACAGACGAGGUUGGCGGAAUUGAUUGUGUAGCGGUGAAAUGCAUAGAUACAAUCAAGAACUCCGAUUGCGUAGGCAGCUAACUAGGCUGUAACUGACGCUGAGGCACGAAAGCGUGGGGAGCGAACAGG